UACCACCUCUAUGUUUUUGGACACAACUUCACCUCAGAGAGCCGCAUGCUGUCUCUGUCUGUGUCCGAUCCGACAGCUGUGAUCGUCAGAUGGGUGGUGGUGCCGCUGUCUCUCCUUCUGCUGCAGGGGGCGCUGUGGCUGUACUUUAAGGCCAGCAGGGGGCAGACCAGCGGACGGCGAGCUGAGUGCGGCGGAGGGAUGGGAUGAAGUCGGUCCACUGAACUGU